UGGGGAAUUUUGGACAAUGGGGGCAACCCUGAUCCAGCAAUGCCGCGUGAGUGAAGAGGGCCUUCGGGUUGUAAAGCUCUUUUGUCCGGGAAGAAAUCCUCUUGGUUAAUACCUGGGAGGGAUGACGGUACUGGAAGAAUAAGCACCGGCUAACUACGUGCCAGCAGCCGCGGUAAUACGUAGGGUGCAAGCGUUAAUCGGAAUUACUGGGCGUAAAGCGUGCGCAGGCGGUUGUGCAAGACCGAUGUGAAAUCCCCGGGCUUAACCUGGGAACUGCAUUGGUGACUGCACGGCUAGAGUGUGUCAGAGGGGGGUAGAAUUCCACGUGUAGCAGUGAAAUGCGUAGAGAUGUGGAGGAAUACCGAUGGCGAAGGCAGCCCCCUGGGAUAACACUGACGCUCAUGCACGAAAGCGUGGGGAGCAAACAGGAUUAGAUACCCUGGUAGUCCACGCCCUAAACGAUGUCAACUAGUUGUCGGGUCUUAAUUGACUUGGUAACGCAGCUAACGCGUGAAGUUGACCGCCUGGGGAGUACGGUCGCAAGAUUAAAAACCUCAAAUGAAUUGACGGGGUCAUAGCUGUUUCCUG
rnacentral:rRNA from 1 species